AGGGCAGGAUAUGUGUGUUUGACUUUAUAUGAAGUUGCUCAGCCAUUUGCUGGAGUGAUUUGACUAUCUCUCAUUCUCAUCAGCAGUGUAGGGGAAUUCCAGGGGUCCCCCAUCUUCAUCGGCCUAUACUAUUACUAGUGCCUUUGAUUUUAGCAUGCAAUUGGGCUUGUAACGAUAGCUCAAUGCCAUUUUUCAUUUGAAUUCCCCUCUUAAACAUCUUUCCAUGUCCUUGUUCUUCAACGUAUACCCUAAGUCCAUUUGUGCUCCUAUAACAAACUACCUGAAGCUGUGUAACUAAUGAACAACAGACAUUGAAUUUUCCCAGUUCUGCAGGCUGAGAAGCCCAAAGUCAAGGCUCUGACAUGUUCAGUGUCUAAAGAACACCUCUCUCUGUUGCCAAGACAACACUGUAAGGGCUGAUGUCAGAAGAGAGGACAUAAGUAAACAACACAAUAGCAGUUAUUUGAGGGAGUUUGAGUAGCACACACUAUGUCAAGAGAGGGUGUGGAAGACUUCUUGGAAUUCACAACAAUGUUUACAGUGCACAGUGUUCGAGAGAAGUAACGCAUUGGUAUAGAACAUCAGGAGGAGAAAUGGGGGUACUCCAAAUAUUUUAGGGGUUACCCCCUAGAAAAGGGAUCAGCUGUACCCUCAAUGGUGACAAAAGACUGAAAUGGAAUGAAAAUCACCAAGGAAAAGGUGGCAGACUUCAACUCCAUAUCAAGAUAAGCUUUUCUACCUAAAAAAUCUUCCUCCCACGAUCAGAUUCCGUGCAAAAGUACCACGAACGACUAACUGCAGGAAGCCUUUGCGAAAGGAGUCAAAGCCCCAGCGUUCAAGGACUCCUGAGGACGCGACCCCAGUACUAGCACAGUCGCCAGAAGGGGCUUACGUAAUCACAGAGCAACCACGCAUGCGCAGUCUGGUCACGCAGACACGCAGACACACACACACACACACACACACACACACAGAGCUGUUGUUUUUCAGUAUAUCUGAUAACAUUAGGCCAAUAUACUGGCUGAAGGAAUAAAGACGAGCAGCUCUGGCUCUCCGGCUGUGCUGCUGCUGAUGAUGAUCGGCUCAGAGUCCUUUCUUCACCCUGUGGGGGAACUCAACUCACAACAAAUGAACGGACCCCUCCCGGUGCCCCCUUGGGAGGCUCGGCCCUGACACUCACACUCACCAAAGAGGACUUGGAGUUCCUGUUUACAGGGUGCCAACUGCAGCCGACCCACCAUGUUGGCCUUCGCCGCUGGUCUCUGGUCCCUCCUACCCCAGCCGCCACCCGUGGGGAGCCAGCCCAUUCCUCCAAGCUUUCCUCACCCAGGCGCCACUGGUAGGGGACCAAGAUCCACUACUUUGUUAAGGUCAAACAAGGAUGAAUGACAAGG
rnacentral:lncRNA from 1 species